GUCGUACGAGAGUUUUUAACUCAAGUGGCGGACGGGUGAGUAACACGUAUAAUUUACCUUUAGGAGGGGGAUAACAACUGGAAACGGUUGCUAAUACCCCAUAUGCUUUCGAGUGAAAUGGUUUUUCCGCCUAAAGAGAAGCUUGCGGCUGAUUAGCUUGUUGGGGAGGUAAUGGCUCACCAAGGCGACGAUCAGUAUCUGGUUUGAGAGGACGAUCAGACACACUGGAACUGAGACACGGUCCAGACUCCUACGGGAGGCAGCAGUGGGGAAUUUUCCGCAAUGGGCGAAAGCCUGACGGAGCAAUACCGCGUGAGGGAUGACGGCCUAUGGGUUGUAAACCUCUUUUUUUCAGGGAGGAAUAAAUGACGUGUACCUGAGGAAUAAGCAUCGGCUAACUCCGUG
rnacentral:rRNA from 1 species